UUUUUUUUUAGUUUUGUAUAUGUUUUUCUAAAUUUUUUAUUAUUUUGUGCAGAUCUGGUCCUAGUGUAACAUCUUUAUUUGAAGACAUGAACUGGGAUUGAGAUUAGGUCUAUUCUAUGUUUAUAUCAUUGCUGACAACUGUGGAGGAUAACAUGUGUUGAAAGGGAAACGGAAGUGAAUGAAGCCUGCUACAUUGAUGUUGAAAUUUCAGACUUUUUCAUUUUGACCAAAACUCUCUUAACCUUUUCAAUAUUGGUCACAAUGCUGUGAAGAAUGAUGAUGAUGGUAUUCAAAUUGUUAAUGGAACUCUAUCUACUUGAUAACACAUGUUUGUUAGUGUGCAUGAUGUGGCAAAUUCUUUUAGACAGGGAAAAUCAUGAUGUGUCUUUUCAACACUUAUACAUGAGCUUUAUUACUCUCUAGGCCA